AUUGAACGCUGGCGGAACGCUUUACACAUGCAAGUCGAACGGCAGCACGGACUUCGGUCUGGUGGCGAGUGGCGAACGGGUGAGUAAUGUAUCGGAACGUGCCCAGUCGUGGGGGAUAACGUAGUGAAAAUUACGCUAAUACCGCAUACGAUCUAUGGAUGAAAGCGGGGGAUCGCAAGACUUCGCGCGAUUGGAGCGGCCGAUAUCAGAUUAGGUAGUUGGUGGGGUAAAGGCCCACCAAGCCAACGAACUGUAGCUGGUCUGAGAGGACAACCAGCCACACUGGAACUGAGACACGGUCCAGACUCCUACGGGAGGCAGCAGUGGGGAAUUUUGGACAAUGGGCGGAAGCCUGAUCCAGCCAUUCCGCGUGCAGGAUGAAGGCCCUCGGGUUGUAAACUGCUUUUGUACAGAACGAAAAGGUUUCUACUAAUACUAGGAGCUCAUGACGGUACUGUAAGAAUAAGCACCGGCUAACUACGUGCCAGCCGCCGCGGUAA
rnacentral:rRNA from 1 species